UCGUUAGAGCUCGAGUCUGUGUCGGGGCUGGCAGCGGCCGACGCCUCGUAGCUCUGCGAGU
rnacentral:precursor_RNA from 1 species